UUCGGGGAUGGGUGGAGGUGGGGUUGCUAUAGUUCUGGGAAGCUUUAUGGCCCCCAAAUGUAUACCUGCCACCAACAUCACCAACAUCUGUACCUCAGAGAAACUAAGGCCCUGGCUGGGAUUUUUUUCUCCUGUUUCGCAGACCCCCGUCUGAUGAGCUGAUGGGGUACCUUGUCUCUGUGAGAAAUUGUGGUAACGUAUUCGUCCAUUUCUGUUGCUUGUAACAGAAUACCUGAAACUGGGUAGUUUACAAAGACAAGGAAUUUAUUUUAUACGGUUCUGGAGCCUGUGAAGUCCAAGGUUGAGGGGCCGCAUCUGGUGAGGACCUCCUUGCUGGUGGGGACUCUGCAGAGUCCAGAGGCCACACAGGAUAUCACAUGGAGGAGCUGACUGAGCCUCAGUGUCCCCAGAUAAGGAGGGGAGUAUGCUCCCAGAAGCGUCUCCUGGGGGGCUAAGUGAAAGCCGGGCCAACCCUUCGUCCAGAGCCCUAUGUCCACGAGGACCAGCCUGGCAGGCACGGGCCCUUCUGGCACCAGCGUCCUGAAGGGCUGAGCAGUUGGUGACUGGAUAAUCCUUUUCUGAGUGUAUCAUGACCUCUGGUUGUGUGAGGAAGCCCAGAGACCGACUAUGGCUUCCUUGGGCUUCCAGAACAUUCUUGGGUUUCUGGAACCAUCAGAGCCACGGUAAUCUGGUGAUUCUGGGUGGGCCGUCUGGGGGCCUGGGCCUUGCAGCUGUGAAGAAUUCAUUUAAAUUUUCCAUGGAGGGAUUGGCUCCCGGCCAGGCCACGUGAGUUAUUUUGAGGCACUCUGGUCGGUGCUCUCUGCCCUGCCCUCGUCCAAGUAAACGAGCCCCACCGAGUGGGCCUGGAAACCCCACCCAGCCUUGUUUAUGGCCCUGCUGGGCUCUGUGGCUGGUCAGUGGCCAGAAUCUGGCAUCUGCCCCCCAUUCCCUCACCCCAGGCUGGGUGGAGUAGGCACAGGAUGGUAAAAUGUCCU